rnacentral:lncRNA from 1 species
AGAUGCACUUUCUCAGGAUCUCUUCAGACUGUGUUCCUCGGGACAUAGUCAUUCAUAUUGACUCAAACCUCUUUAAAAUAUUUUGGAGUCUGGUUUUUUCAUCAACAAAGUGAAGAUGUGAAGCAACUAGAACUCUUGUACAUUGUAGAUAAGAGUGGUACAACCUCUUUGAACUAUGCAAAAUGGUACAACCUCUUAGGAGAAAAGUUUUUUUUUUCAAUUUUUUUAAUCAAGCUAAUUACACAUCUACCCUAUGACUUCAGCAAUUUUAUAUCUGGAUAUUUUGUGUACAACGACAAAAAGACUUGCAUUUGUUCAUUUGUUCAUAGCAGUCUUAUUUAUAAUAACUAAAACCUGGAAACAACUCAAAUGUCUAUCAAUAUAAAAUUGAUAAAUUAUGUCAUAUUCUAUAAAGAAAUACAGAUUAGUAAGCAAAAAAAAAAUAAAUUACUGAUAUACACAAUAACAUAAAUGAAUCUCCAGACUCCAAAUUAAACAAAGUAAAUGCUGUAUGAUUUCAUAUAUAUAAAGGAGUUCUAAAACAGAAUAAAUUAUUUUGUAAUAAUAGAAAGAGAGUAGCGGUUGUUCAAAGAUGGGAGUUACGGUGGGAAUUUGACUUCAAAGGGGUAGGAGGGCACUUUCCAGGAUGAUAUUAUGAUUCAUUUCUUGAGAGGAGCUAAAACUACUCAGGCGUAUACAUUUGUCAA